GAUGAACGCUGGCGGCGUGCCUAAUACAUGCAAGUCGAGCGAACAGACGAGGAUCUUGCUCCUCUGACGUUAGCGGCGGACGGGUGAGUAACACGUGGAUAACCUACCUAUAAGACUGGGAUAACUUCGGGAAACCGGAGCUAAUACCGGAUAAUAUAUUUAACCGCAUGGUUCAAUAGUGAAAGACGGUUUUGCUGUCACUUAUAGAUGGAUCCGCGCCGCAUUAGCUAGUUGGUAAGGUAACGGCUUACCAAGGCAACGAUGCGUAGCCGACCUGAGAGGGUGAUCGGCCACACUGGAACUGAGACACGGUCCAGACUCCUACGGGAGGCAGCAGUAGGGAAUCUUCCGCAAUGGGCGAAAGCCUGACGGAGCAACGCCGCGUGAGUGAUGAAGGUCUUCGGAUCGUAAAACUCUGUUAUUAGGGAAGAACAAAUGUGUAAGUAACUAUGCACGUCUUGACGGUACCUAAUCAGAAAGCCACGGCUAACUACGUG
rnacentral:rRNA from 1 species